rnacentral:tRNA from 1 species
GGAAGGGCCACCCGAUUGGCGACGGGAACCGGUUGGAAGCCGGUCGAGUACAAGCGUGCCUUGCGGGUUCGACUCCCGCUCCUUCCG